rnacentral:snoRNA from 14 species
AAGGCCUAUGAUGAUUCAAAUUUUGCCUACAUUGUUUGAUAAACCAAUGAUAUAACUUGUACAAAAUGUUUUCUGAGGCCUU